CUGAGGCAUUAAGUCAUCCUUGGAUUAGUAACUACAAUGAUAUUCAAGCUCAUGAAAGCCUAUAUGCGCUCAUCAUCUCUACAUAAAGCGGCGUUAAGAGGAAAGAAGAGACUUGCU